UCCGGUUGAUCCUGCCGGACCUGACUGCUAUCGGAUUGGUACUAAGCCAUGCGAGUCGUUGUACAAUACAAGGCGGACUGCUCAGUAACACGUAGUUGACUUAACCUAUGGAUGGGAAUAACCUCGGGAAACUGAGAAUAAUACCCAAUAGACCACAGUGCCUGGAAUGGCCUGUGGUUGAAAUGAUUUAUCGCCGUAGGAUAGGACUGCGGCCUAUCAGCUUGUUGGUGAGGUAAUGGCCCACCAAGGCUAUAACAGGUACGGGCUCUGAGAGGAGGGGCCCGGAGAUGGGUACUGAGACACGGACCCAGGCCCUAUGGGGCGCAGCAGGCGAGAAACCUUUGCAAUGUGCGAAAGCACGACAAGGUUAAUCCGAGUGUCUCCUGCUAAAGGAGUCUUUUGUCAGUUGUAGAAUCACUGGUGAAUAAGGGGUGGGCAAGUUCUGGUGUCAGCCGCCGCGGUAAAACCAGCACCUCGAGUGGUCAGGAGGUUUAUUGGGCCUAAAGCAUCCGUAGCCCGGUUGCAUAAGUUUUCGGUUAAAUCUAUGCGCUUAACGUAUAGGCCGCCGAAAAUACUGUGCAGCUAAGG
rnacentral:rRNA from 1 species